GACGAACGCUGGCGGCGUGCCUAAUACAUGCAAGUUGAGCGCUGAAGGUUGGUACUUGUACCAACUGGAUGAGCAGCGAACGGGUGAGUAACGCGUGGGGAAUCUGCCUUUGAGCGGGGGACAACAUUUGGAAACGAAUGCUAAUACCGCAUAAAAACUUUAAACACAAGUUUUAAGUUUGAAAGAUGCAAUUGCAUCACUCAAAGAUGAUCCCGCGUUGUAUUAGCUAGUUGGUGAGGUAAAGGCUCACCAAGGCGAUGAUACAUAGCCGACCUGAGAGGGUGAUCGGCCACAUUGGGGCUGAGACACGGCCCAAACUCCUACGGGAGGCAGCAGUAGGGAAUCUUCGGCAAUGGACGAAAGUCUGACCGAGCAACGCCGCGGGAGUGAAGAAGGUUUUCGGAUCGUAAAACUCUGUUGGUAGAGAAGAACGUUGGUGAGAGUGGAAAGCUCAUCAAGUGACGGUAACUACACAGAAAGGGACGGCUAACUACGUG
rnacentral:rRNA from 1 species